rnacentral:rRNA from 1 species
AACGAACGCUGGCGGCAUGCCUAACACAUGCAAGUCGAACGAGACCUUCGGGUCUAGUGGCGCACGGGCGCGUAACGCGUGGGAACCUGCCCUUAGGUUCGGAAUAACUCCCCGAAAGGGGUGCUAAUACCGGAUAAUGUCUUCGGACCAAAGAUUUAUCGCCUUUGGAUGGGCCCGCGUUGGAUUAGCUAGUUGGUAGGGUAAAAGCCUACCAAGGCGACGAUCCAUAGCUGGUCUGAGAGGAUGAUCAGCCACACUGGGACUGAGACACGGCCCAGACUCCUACGGGAGGCAGCAGUGGGGAAUAUUGGACAAUGGGCGAAAGCAUGAUCCAGCAAUGCCGCGUGAGUGAUGAAGGCCUUAGGGUUGUAAAGCUCUUUUGCCCGGGAUGAUAAUGACAGUACCGGGAGAAUAAGCACCGGCUAACUCCGUG